GGCUGGUCUGAAGGUCAGAAGUUACCUCAAUUGAUUGUUCACAGUCAGUUACAGAUCAAACUCCUUGUUCUACCCUUUCCCCACUUCUCACUACUGCACUUUACUAGUCUUUA
ensembl:misc_RNA Y_RNA Y RNA